UCAGGUUUUUUUCCUUACCUACUCUGCAACACCAAAGCUGAAUGGCUCCCCUUUACAGAGAGAUUUUAGAAGCCACAAUUGAGUGUUGUCAUUCAGAGAGAGAGUUUGGAAAGACAAUGCUGUCUAUGCCCUUCUGAGUUGAUCUCUCUCUCUCUCUCUCUCUCUCUCUCUCAUUUUCAUCUGCAACAGAAUCACAAGCAUGGGCUCAGACAUGUUUUCCCUACCAUCAAUAAUUCAUAUCCUCUCUCUCUCACUCAAUCACAACUACAAUGGUCUAUAUAUACUUGGUGCUCUAAUGUUUCUCUCCCCAAGGAUAUGUUUUCAUUUUCAUAACAAUGAAAAGCUUGCAUAUAGUUCUGUUCUGUUUCCUUAUUACAGUUCUGUAUCUCUCUUCCCAUAACAUGAGUUCCUCUUCUCUGUCUCUGAGUAUCCUCCCAGGAAGACAACCAAUGAGGAAAUUGAGCAUGUCAUUGACCAACAAGAAACAUGAAAAUCCAAAGAUCAAGGUCAUUGAUGGAGACUCGGAAACAUCGAUGGUCCAAGAGAAUCCAGUUUCAAACAAAUAUGCAAGUAUCAAUAGUAAUAUAGACGAUAUUGUUUACCAGAUUGAUUACCAUGGAGUGACUACUCAUCCGACUCCAACACCCAGACACUCCAAACCAUAGAAACUUCUUCUUCUUUGUGGUUUAUGCAGUGUUGUACUUAUAUAUUUCUAGGUUAUAUAUGAAAUAAUAAGUGAUAUUGAUGAAACAGUC